UAGGGAAUCUUCGGCAAUGGGGGGAACCCUGACCGAGCAACGCCGCGUGAGUGAAGAAGGUUUUCGGAUAGUAAAGCUCUGUUGUUAAGGAAGAACGAGUGUGAGAAUGGAAAGUUCAUACUGUGACGGUACUUAACCAGAAAGGGACGGCUAACUACGUGCCAGCAGCCGCGGUAAUACGUAGGUCCCGAGCGUUGUCCGGAUUUAUUGGGCGUAAAGCGAGCGCAGGCGGUUAGAUAAGUCUGAAGUUAAAGGCAGUGGCUCAACCAUUGUAGGCUUUGGAAACUGUUUGACUUGAGUGCAGAAGGGGAGAGUGGAAUUCCAUGUGUAGCGGUGAAAUGCGUAGAUAUAUGGAGGAACACCGGUGGCGAAAGCGGCUCUCUGGUCUGUAACUGACGCUGAGGCUCGAAAGCGUGGGGAGCGAACAGG
rnacentral:rRNA from 1 species